GCCAAAUAUGGCGCGCGGAAGAUAACGACCACUUCCGACCUCAGGUCGCUUCCUCAUCCCUCGGUCCCGCGUGUCGCGCUCGCCCAGACCCGAACUCCGCGUAUCAUCAUCGGUCCAAGCAGAAGGAUCGGAGGCACACACGGGACAGUUUGCAGCCAAGAUGAACGACGCCGAUGUCGGGAAGCAGGUGCAGCAGAUGGUCCGGUUCAUCCUGCAGGAGGCCGACGAGAAAGCCAGCGAGAUCAGUGUUGCCGCCGAGGAGGAGUUCAGCAUCGAGAAGCUGCAGCUGGUGGAGUCGGAAAAACGGAGGGUGCGGCAGGAGUACGAGCGCAAGGAGAAGCAGGUGGACGUCCGCAGGAAGAUCGAGUACUCGACGGAGCUGAACGCGGCGCGCAUCAAGCUGCUGCGGGCGCAGGACGACGUGGUGACCGGGAUGAAGGAGAGCGCCGGCGACGCGCUGCUCCGCGUCACCAAGGACGCCAACGCCUACAAGAGGGUCCUCAAGGGCCUCAUCGUGCAGAGCCUGCUUCGCCUGAGGGAGCCGGCGCUGGUGCUGCGGUGCCGAGAGGCGGACCGGAGCCUGGUGGAGGCGGUGCUGGAGGUGGCCAAGAAGGAGUACGCCGAGAAGGCCAAGGUCAACCUCCCCAAGAUCAUCAUCGACGGCAAGGUCUACCUGCCGCCGCAGAGGACCAGCCGCGACGCGCAUGGGCCGUCCUGCUCCGGCGGCGUGGUGCUCGCGUCCCAGGACGGCAAGAUCGUCUGCGACAACACGCUGGACGCCAGGCUCAGCGUCUCCUUCAGGCAAAAGCUCCCCGAGAUCAGGAAGAAACUCUUCAGCCAGCGAGUAUCGUCCUAAUGUUUUUUUUUUGUUACUCUGAUCGAUUGUUUUCUGAAAUAAACCAGAAGCGGUCCGAUCCUACGAAGAUACACAGGUCCUGACAUUGGGUGAAGCCCGUAUGUGCACGUUUCGGAUUUCGCAACAUCGAUUUGAGCUUGAACAGUUCUUCGCUAGCUUGUCGGUAGAGGCGGCAAUGGCUGAAGUUGAGUCUGUAUCCCGGUGGAUAGGGGACCUCCGCGACCGUUACCCUGAGUCGAGUUGUGUCACAGUCUGUAUCUAUCGCUCCUGAAACCUGAGGGGCCUGUAUUGUUUGUCAUGCACUUUGUUUCUUCUCUUCUGUUUGUAGCCUACUAUAUCCACUGAAAUCUGAGGGGCCUGUAUUGUUUGUCAAGUACUUUGUUUUUCUCUCUCUUCUAUCUGCACCCUAAUCCACGGUAAAACAUGCGGAAUAAGAUGGGUAUGAAUGUACCCAAACAAGGUCCAAGAGGUUGGAGAACAACACUGUAAAUACAGAGUAAACACUGGAAAUAGCACAAUCCCUG
rnacentral:misc_RNA from 1 species